rnacentral:rRNA from 1 species
AUUUUAGUUUAAACAACACUGCUAAAGUAUUAAAAGUUAUGAUCUCUAAAUUUAAAGGAUUUGGCGGUAAUUUAGUCCAGUUAGAGGAACCUGUUGAGUAAACGAUACACCACGAAAAAUCUUACCUGUUUUCAGUUUGUAUACCGUCAUUAUUAGAUAACUUUGCAAAAAAUAAAGUUAUUAACCAAAAAUUUUUCUUUGUAUAUUAGAUCAAGGUGCAGCGUAUAAACAGGUCUUUAAUGGGUUACAAUAAUAUUAUAUUAUUACGAAUAUAAAUAUUAAAUUAUUUAUUGAAGGAGGAUUUAAUAGUAAAAUUAGUUUAAUAAGCUAAUUUGAUAGUGGAUCUAGAUUGUGUACAUAUCGCCCGUCGCUUUCAUUUCAAAAUGAAAUAAGUCGUAACAUAG